AAAACAUGUCCUCUUUGUUAUUUAUAUGAGGUCUGACCUGCCCGAUGAUGUUUUCAAUGGCCGCAGUAUACUGACUGUGCUAAGGUAGCAUAAUCAUUUGUCUUUUAAUUGAAGGCUGGAAUGAAGGGUUGGACGAGAUAUUAGCUUUCUUUUUAUUACAUUCUAAAUUUAACUUUUAGGUUAAAAGGCCUAUAUUAUAUUAAGGGACGAGAAGACCCUAUAGAUCUUUAUAUUUAUUAUUAUUUAUCAUCCUUUAGUUAGAUAAUUGAUGGUAUAUUUAAUAUAUAUUUAAUUGGGGUGAUUACAGAAUUACUAUAACUUCUGUUUUAGCUUGCAUUGAUUUAUGUUUUAGUGAUCCAUUAUUAUUGAUUGUAAGAUUAAGUUACCUUAGGGAUAACAGCGUUAUUCUUUCAGAAAGUUCUUAUUAAUGAAAGAGUUUGCGACCUCGAUGUUGGAUUAAAAUAAGUUUUGGGCGCAAAAGUCUAAUUACUUGGUCUGUUCGACCAUUAAAUUUUUACAUGAUCUGA
rnacentral:rRNA from 1 species